CUGGGAUGUAGAAGAAGUACAGGCUGAAGCCAUUCAGCACCUUGCCAGCUUUGUAAGAGAUAAAAGUGCCUUGCCCUAUCUGCUAACGUUCACAGAAUUGAUCACUUCUGCCAUGAAGACUCACGUAGAUUCUCUCAAGAUACAAGUAGAUGGUUGCAGUUUAUUGCUUGAAAUUCUUAGUCAAGCUCUAGAACAGGAUGUGGUGAUGGCCCUGGAUGAGAAUGUGGCCAGCUCUCUGUUAGACACCAUGAGGAAACACUCAGAAAAUGAAGAGUUACUUUCAUUGGUCUGCACGUUAUUGAUGAUGAUUUCAGCCAGUGAAGUUGCUGCAGAGAAUCUAAGGAAAGUUGGAGUAAUUCCAGACCUUCUGUCAGUUUUAAGAAAUUUUCUUCAUAAUGAACGGAUCCGCUUCUCUUGCUGUGGAAUUCUCUGGAGCUUGGCUGUG
rnacentral:lncRNA from 1 species